ncrna:unclassified sequences engA RNA
GCCCUGAAUGGAAAAGAGGGCACACUCUCGUCGGAUGACGAGGGCCAGAGCACGGUCGGCUCCGGCAAAUUAUUAACUUGGAUGCAGAGACCACAUCCGGCCCUC